rnacentral:rRNA from 1 species
GGACCCGCACAAGUAGUGGAGCAUGUGGUUUAAUUCGAAGAUACGCGCAGAACCUUACCAACACUUGACAUGUUCGUCGCGACUUUAAGAGAUUAAAGUUUUCGGUUCGGCCGGACGAAACACAGGUGCUGCAUGGCUGUCGUCAGCUCGUGUCGUGAGAUGUUGGGUUAAGUCCCGCAACGAGCGCAACCCUCACUUUUAGUUGCCAUCAUUAAGUUGGGCACUCUGAAAGAACUGCCAGUGAUAAGCUGGAGGAAGGUGGGGAUGACGUCAAGUCCUCAUGGCCCUUACGUGUUGGGCUACACACGUGCUACAAUGGUAUCUACAACAGGAAGCAAGACGGCGACGUUAAGCAAAUCCUUAAAAGAUACCUCAGUUCGGAUUGCACUCUGCAACUCGACCCCAUGAAGUCGGAAUCGCUAGUAAUCG